rnacentral:rRNA from 1 species
CCUACGGGAGGCAGCAGUGGGGAAUAUUGCACAAUGGGGGAAACCCUGAUGCAGCGACGCCGCGUGAAGGCAGAAGUAUUUCGGUAUGUAACGCUCUAUCAGCAGGGAAGAAAAUGACGGUACCUGACUAAGAAGCCCCGGCUAACUACGUGCCAGCAGCCGCGGUAAUACGUAGGGGGCAAGCGUUCUCCGGAUUUACUGGGUGUCAAGGGAGCGUAGACGGCGGUGCAAGCCAGAGGUGAAAGCCCGGGGCUCAACCCCGGGACUGCAUUUGGAACUGUGCUGCUAGAGUGUCGGAGAGGCAGGCGGAAUGCCUAGUGUAGCGGUGAAAUGCGUAGAUAUUAGGAGGAACACCAGGGGCGAAGGCGGCCUGCUGGACGAUGACUGACGUUGAGGCUCGAAAGCGUGGGGAGCAAACAGGAUUAGAUACCCGGUAGUC